GACGAACCGAGCGAACGUUGUUCGGAAUCACUGGGCUUAAAGGGCGCGUAGGCGGGCUGUCAAGUCUGGGGUGAAAUCCCGCGGCUCAACCGUGGAACUGCCUCAGAUACUGACGGCCUCGAGGGAGAUAGGGGCGAGCGGAACUAAUGGUGGAGCGGUGAAAUGCGUUGAUAUCAACUGGAACUCCGGUGGCGAAGGCGGCACGCCGGACCUUUUCUGACGCUGAGGCGCGAAAGCCAGGGGAGCAAACGGG
rnacentral:rRNA from 1 species